AAAUGCCACUUUUGUGUAGGCCUAGGUGUAUUGCUAUUAUUCAAAUGUACAUUUGAAUAAUAGCAAUACAGCUAGGCCUACACAAAAGUGACAUUUG
rnacentral:pre_miRNA from 1 species